rnacentral:rRNA from 1 species
UGAAGCGGCAACAGCUCAAAUUUGAAAUCUGGUCCCCAGGGCCCGAGUUGUAAUUUGUAGAGGAUGCUUUUGGCAAGGUGCCUUCCGAGUUCCCUGGAACGGGACGCCAUAGAGGGUGAGAGCCCCGUCUGGUCGGACACCAAGCCUCUGUAAAGCUCCUUCGACGAGUCGAGUAGUUUGGGAAUGCUGCUCAAAAUGGGAGGUAUAUGUCUUCUAAAGCUAAAUAUAGGCCAGAGACCGAUAGCGCACAAGUAGAGUGAUCGAAAGAUGAAAAGCACUUUGAAAAGAGGGUUAAAAAGUACGUGAAAUUGUUGAAAGGGAAGCGCCUAUGACCAGACUUGAGCCCGGUGAAUCAUCCAGCGUUCUCGCUGGUGCACUUUGCCGGGCACAGGCCAGCAUCAGUUUGGCGCGGGGGAAAAAGGCUUUGGGAAUGUGGCUCCCUCGGGAGUGUUAUAGCCCAUUGCGUAAUACCCUGCACCGGACUGAGGUACGCGCAUUCGCAAGGAUGCUGGCGUAAUGGUCAUCAGCGACCCGUCUUGAAACACGGACCAAGGAGUCGUCUUCGUAUGCGAGUGUUCGGGUGUUAAACCCCUACGCGUAAUGAAAGUGAACGCAGGUGAGAGCUUCGGCGCAUCAUCGACCGAUCCUGAUGUUCUCGGAUGGAUUUGAGUAAGAGCAUACGGGGCCGGACCCGAAAGAAGGUGAACUAUGCCUGUAUAGGGUGAAGCCAGAGGAAACUCUGGUGGAGGCUCGCAGCGGUUCUGACGUGCGAAUCGAUCGUCAAAUAUGGGCAUGGGGGCGAAAGACUAAUCGAACCUUCUAGUAGCUGGUUUCCGCCGAAGUUUCCCUCAGGAUAGCAGUGUUGAACUCAGUUUUAUGAGGUAAAGCGAAUGAUUAGGGACUCGGGGGCGCUAUAUUGCCUUCAUCCAUUCUCAAACUUUAAAUAUGUAAGAAGCUCUUGUUGCUUAAUUGAACGUGAGCAUUCGAAUGUAUCAACACUAGUGGGCCAUUUUUGGUAAGCAGAACUGGCGAUGCGGGAUGAACCGAACGCGAGGUUAAGGUGCCGGAGUGGACGCUCAUCAGACACCACAAAAGGUGUUAGUACAUCUUGACAGCAGGACGGUGGCCAUGGAAGUCGGAAUCCGCUAAGGACUGUGUAACAACUCACCUGCCGAAUGUACUAGCCCUGAAAAUGGAUGGCGCUCAAGCGUCCCACCCAUACCUCGCCCUCAGGGUAGAAACGAAGCCCUGAGGAGUAGGCGGACGUGGAGGUCAGUGACGAAGCC